rnacentral:misc_RNA from 1 species
CCAGCAAGAUGGGCUUGCCAACGGGAGGCGGUCUAUCACUAUUUUGUCCUGGUGGUGAUCUGGGACAGCCACCGCCAGCCCACAUGGGCAUCCCCCCGCCUUACCAACUCGACUCCAAGUUAGCAGCAGGGUUGGCGCGGACCCCCAUGUACCCUUUUCCUGGGGGCACGUACCCUUACCCCAUGCUCAGUCCUGAGAUGUCACAAGUAGCAGCUUCGUGGCAUACCCCGAGUAUGUACCCCAUAUCAUCGGCGGCGAGUGGUUUCCGAAGUCCGUACCCCACCUCGUUGCCGAUACCAAGUUCUAGUCUAUCCAGUGAAUUAUAUCGGUUCUCGCCAACCCUAGGCGGUGGUCUAGGUCUAGGCCUGGGUCCAGCGUUGGUGCCGCCGCCCUCCUCGAAAGCCGACCUCGACUCCCACCAUGCACGGUAUGCGAGGUCGUUGGAGAAAGGCAGCAGCGGUAGUGCCAACGAGAAACCAGCUGAAAGUUCAGCGAACAGUAACAACAAAGAGCAGAAUAAGAAGCCUCAUAUAAAAAAACCACUGAACGCCUUCAUGUUGUACAUGAAAGAAAUGAGGGCGAAAGUGGUCGCAGAGUGCACGCUCAAGGAAUCCGCAGCCAUCAACCAGAUACUUGGCAGACGGUGGCAUUCCUUGAGUCGCGAGGAGCAAGCAAAGUACUAUGAAAAAGCGAGACAGGAGAGACAGCUCCAUAUGCAGCUGUAUCCCGGUUGGAGUGCAAGGGACAACUACGGUUAUGGUUCCAAAAAGAAAAAACGGAAAAAGGAUCGCAGUCCCGCUGAGCUGGGAGUGGCAUGCGCUUGGACGCGAGGAGCAAGCCAAGUAUUACGAGUUGGCGCGCCGGGAACGCCAGCUGCAUAUGCAGCUCUAUCCCGAUUGGUCGUCUAGGGCUAAUACGCAAAGGGGCAAGAAGAGGAAGCGAAAACAGGAGACAACCGAUGGAGGAAAUAAUUUGAAGAAAUGCCGAGCGAGGUAUGGCCUCGACCAACAAAACCAGUGGUGCAAACCCUGCAGGUGA